rnacentral:rRNA from 1 species
UACGUAGGGUGCAAGCGUUGUCCGGAAUUAUUGGGCGUAAAGAGCUCGUAGGCGGUCUGUCGCGUCGAAUGUGAAAACCCGGGGCUCAACCCCGGGCCUGCAUUCGAUACGGGCAGACUAGAGUUCGGUAGGGGAGCCUGGAAUUCCUGGUGUAGCGGUGAAAUGCGCAGAUAUCAGGAGGAACACCGAUGGCGAAGGCGGGUCUCUGGCCGUAACUGACGCUGAGGAGCGAAAGCGUGGGGAGCGAACAGGA